ACAUAUCCAACCUGCCGUCUACUCUUGGCCAGCCUUCUGAAAGGAAGAUUAAUCCAGGAUGGCAUCAUGAGUUCACAUGUCCGCAUGAUUAAAGGUAUUUUCCGGUAGACGAUGGGGAUGCGUUCCAUUAGAUAGUAGGCGGGGUAACGGCCCACCUAGUCAACGAUGGAUAGGGGUUCUGAGAGGAAGGUCCCCCACAUUGGAACUGAGACACGGUCCCAA
rnacentral:rRNA from 1 species